GAACACCAGGGUUAAAAACUGCAAAAGACGUUCGUGCUUGCACGAUAAGGCUUUUGAGUUUGGAACCCGCCAAAUAUGAGAAAGUAGCGAUUUACGAUAGUAAAUCAGCGGAUUUCGAAUAUUUGCAGGAGUGUGGGAGUAGCUUGCUACGGAACACUCCGUGGUAC
rnacentral:sRNA from 19 species